ACAACAACUAAUCAGAAUAUCCUCCCUUGUUUACAUCAACCAUACUGUUGCUUGUAAUUUUAAAAAGCUCACUUCCUCCUUUGCCCCACGCUGCGCUCCCGCCAGCCCACAUUCUACCUCUUCCUCCAGGCUAGCUUUGUCAAGCCACCAUCAACCGCCCUAUCUUCUCUUUCUCCUACCCACCUUAGGUCCAAGGAAGGAAAACACUAGACCACUUUAUUACUUUAAAACUUUCCAGAUAACACAAUUUCUGGGCAUAGAAAUCUCUAGCCCUAAACUUAUCAGCUAUCUUAUAUCAGCCAUCCGCCAGUGGAAGAGGCCACCAGUUCUGGAUGCCCUAAGUCCUUACAUGGUUGUUGUGUCCUUCUUGCUCCAAAGCCUUGCCUGAAGAGCUCCCUCCUCUCCCUGUGUCUGCUCUUCCUCUCCUGGGAUCUGGAAGUCCCAGCUUCCACCCACCCCCACUCCCUGAGAUUGACUUCUGCUUUCUUUAUUGACCAAUUAGGAAAACACCACCUCCCCCUACACUAUGCCAAUCCCUUUGUGCUUCCAGGUUCUACUGUAUCACUCCUGGGUUUUGCCAAGUCCCUAGACUCUAGGGGUGGAAAAGACCUACCUGUAAACCUAGUCCUGUAGGGCGAGGUGAUGGGGCAGUUGGGCAGACUCUCCUCACUGAUGUCCACAGGUUAGAUCUAGCUAAGAUUGGAUGAGCAUUCCAGUGAGGAAUUCCUGCCCGGUUAGGGCAGGUCUCUCAUCUUUAGACUGCAUUUUAGGAGGUGUAUAAAGGAGAUAAGUCUCACUGGUGGUACUUUUACUAGAAGUGUGCACCUACAACUACCAUUUGCACUAAGAAAGGACACCAGGAUACCUGUGCUGCUACAUCCUGGAAAAUGACACAGAAAUUCAUUUUUCCUGUUUCAUACUACUCAGUUUUGUCUACAUCCCUGUGAGACAUGUACCCAGCCCUGUCAUAUUGGCCUUGAAGACUUCACAGAGGUGAGGCCAGAGUGAAAGGUAGCCAGCCCAGAGUACUCAAUACAAAGCUGUGUGAAGCUGGCAGUUGCUUUCAGUGUAUAUCCAUGUUUUUUCAACCCUAGGCCUCUAAACCCUCACUCAUUACCUUUCCUAAUAAGUAACUCAGCAUGAGUUCUGAUUGUAAAGUGGGAAUUAUGACUCAGCUAUGCUGGAUUGUAGUACUAAGACGAUGCUGUGACACUGGUUCAGUGUUGUUUUAUAACUGAGUCUGGUUCUUGCGUCUCUAGAGUCCUGUGUGAAAGCAUACUAUAGCACGUGUGCUAAAUCCGAACACCAGCACUACCACCCCCAAUUGACAACAGGCUCAUGCUGGUGGCUCUACCACUCAGCUGUCCCCACCCCCCAUACCUGCUAUAAUCCAUCAUGGAUGUACCUGUCUACAACUUCCCUAUGACAACAGCAACUUGUUGAGGGCAGUGCCGAGAACGCACCUGUAUCUGGGUCCCCCCAAGAACCCAGGACCAAGCUCUGAUUUCUCCAAACCAUCUCAUCUUAGAGCAGCAUUCAAUGUGGAAAAUGAGGCAGAGCUCAGGAAGCAGAUCUUGAUGGACACCACAAUUCCAUCUGCUAGAGGUCUGGUUUUCUUUUAGAAAUGUGGGUGAGGCUGAAGCAAACUGCUAACUAACCUGGGUCCUUCCUCUUAAUGUCAGGAUUUGGAGAGAGAGAGAGAGAGAGAGAGAGAGAGAGAGAGAGAGAGAGAGAGAGAGAGAGAGUAUUUCUCCAGGCCUUAUUUUAUCUCUGAUCAACUCAGGUGUCACCCAACCUCAAGCCCAACUACUAUAUAAUUACAGAAAUAGGAAUGUCUCACUUUUUAUGCUUAAAAUUUGUGUCUCACAGUUCAUCUCCAGCCAAAGUGUUUUGUCCUGUAUUCAGUAGGUAGAAACUUAUCUCUCCCAUAUCCAUCAAGAAUUGCCUACCCAUCAUGAGCAAUAUGAUUGUGAUUCUUAGAAUGCCACAUUAUCCAGCUAUGUUUUUUUUUUGCAUUUAGGAGUUGAUCUAAAAGACAGAUGUACACAAUGCAAAUACAAGAACAAUCGCUUAAACUUGAAUAAAUAAAGAUCCGGGGACUGAUGCCGAUGGACCAGCCUGAAACACACAAUUCUUAUAUAUGAAAGUUGCCUUGUGCUUCCAGUGGCAGUUAUCCAGAGGAGUGACAAGCAGUGGAGACAAGUAACCUGGCAGCUCACAUGUCUGCAGAUGAUGACACUGGUUAUGCACCAUGGUGGUGUUAUCUUCAGGUGACAGUGUUACCUUUGCCGGGAUACAGAAGGAAUCUGGACUCUUAGCAACAAAGAUUCAUGGCCUUAGCGGGCAGAAGUUAGAACCCUGGCACGCUGCGUGAAGAGCUCUCUGUGGUGCGGGAAAUGUGUAAGAGUUUUUCCCAGCAUAAGGACAUUUUGAUGGUCAGGAGCCACAAAAAUCACAUCAUGUAACAAACCUCACGCAAGAGAUUUAUUGGGGAGAAACCCAGAAUGGUGGCUGCCUCCGGAUGAAAAGAGAGACAUCACAGGGUUGGACAGAAGGACAAGCUUUUCUAGGAUCUUUGGGAGAGCUGAACACAGAUUUGGCAGAGAUUUUUUUUCAGCAUGAUGAGAAGCAUCUUCAAGUCUAAACUUAGAAGAUAACCAAAGGUAAUUUACAAUCUUGAGCUUGUGACUGACAAUCGUAUUCAGUGCUUUAUCGUCUUAUCAGAACUUCAUGGACCAAUAUUAAAACUCGAGCCUUCAAAAUAGAGGGUGAAGGAAAUCUGUAACAUCUUUUCACUACCUUCGAUUACUUUUUUAGACAUUUACAACUUACAUUUACGUACCUUAAAACACCAACUUUAACAUCCUCACAUUCUUGGACCCUCAGAACUGACAAAAGCAUUCACAUUUCC
ensembl:lncRNA